CUUCUCUUUUAAAAAAUGAGAGCCUUAAGAGGCUAACACAGGAGGGUAAAGGAAGUCUCCAUAAAACCCAGAGAAGAGAUUUUUAGAACUCCUCUCUGGAUCCUGUCUGGAGUCACAACU
rnacentral:snoRNA from 1 species